GAUGAAGAACGCAGCGAAAUGCGAUAAGUAAUGUGAAUUGCAGAAUCCAGUGAAUCAUCGAAUCUUUGAACGCACAUUGCGCCCGCCAGCAUUCUGGCGGGCAUGCCUGUUCGAGCGUCAUUUCAACCCUCAAGCCCCCGGGCUUGGUGUUGGGGAUCGGCGUGCCCUCGCGGCGCGCCGUCCCCUAAAUCUAGUGGCGGUCUCGCUGUAGCUUCCUCUGCGUAGUAGCAACACUCGCACUGGAUCGCAGCGCGGCCACGCCGUUAAACCCCCCACUUCUGAAAGUUUGACCUCGGAUCAGGUAGGAAUACCCGCUGAACUUAAGCAUAUCAAUAAGCGGAGGA
rnacentral:misc_RNA from 1 species